UGGGGAAUCUUAGACAAUGGGCGCAAGCCUGAUCUAGCCAUGCCGCGUGAGUGACGAAGGCCUUAGGGUCGUAAAGCUCUUUCGCCAGAGAUGAUAAUGACAGUAUCUGGUAAAGAAACCCCGGCUAACUCCGUGCCAGCAGCCGCGGUAAUACGGAGGGGGUUAGCGUUGUUCGGAAUUACUGGGCGUAAAGCGUACGUAGGCGGAUUGGAAAGUAGGGGGUGAAAUCCCAGGGCUCAACCCUGGAACUGCCUCCUAAACUAUCAGUCUAGAGUUCGAGAGAGGUGAGUGGAAUUCCAAGUGUAGAGGUGAAAUUCGUAGAUAUUUGGAGGAACACCAGUGGCGAAGGCGGCUCACUGGCUCGAUACUGACGCUGAGGUACGAAAGGGUGGGGAGCAAACA
rnacentral:rRNA from 1 species